rnacentral:lncRNA from 1 species
AUGGAGUUUUUUUUUGCGGGAAAAUCUUUCAAUCUAUUCAUCUUCAAUCAUGGUAGUACAACGAACACUAGAAAUAAUAAAAAUUACAUUCAGAUCCGUAGACCACCUAGCGACGACUACAAGCACUGAUGCGAGCCGAAGGCUGCGCCGCUGUCAUCGCCCCUCCCUCGCCGGAGCCGGGCAAACGUUGUUGUAGUAGACAGUCGGGAGUCGUCGUGCUAAGGCCCAUGGAACCAACGCACCAGAACAGCAACCGCCGCAGAUGAAGAGUGUAGAUCAAAAGAAUCCAAUCUGAAGACACACGAGCGAAGACGAACGACGAACAGAUCUGAGCAAAUCCACCAAAGACAGAUCCACCGGAGACGCACCUCCACACGCCCACCGAUGAUGCUAGACGCAUCACCGGAACGGGGGCUAGGCGGGGGGACCUUUAUUUCAUCUUCAGGGAGCCGCCACCGUCUCGUCUUCCUGAGCAGGACACAAACCCUAACAAAUCUCAAAAACAGAUCUAAAAACGGAGCCCUCCCACCGGCAAGGGCCGAGAUCCACUCCGCCUCUAUGGCCCUAAGGCCACCGGAGACGGGACGGACUGGCACCGGCGCCGACGGGAGGCAGAGAAUCUUAGUUUGUUUGGAGGCGGCGGUCUUGUAUGCAGUAGACGUCUUGGCGUGUUCAUUGUGUUCGUUGAUUUUCGGUGUGUGCAUCCUGUAGACGUCUAGGCGUGUUCAUUGUGUUUGUAUUCCUUUCAUGCUUAUUUUUAAAUAAAAAAUCAAUAAAUUCACCUUACCUGAGUAGUAGUAAAAACCACAUACUGUGUGUGUGGUCCAUCAAGCGGUCCGUGUUUAGAAGAUUGACCGAGCGAGUGAUCCCC